rnacentral:rRNA from 1 species
CCUACGGGAGGCAGCAGUGGGGAAUAUUGGACAAUGGGCGAAAGCCUGAUCCAGCAAUGCCGCGUGUGUGAAGAAGGCCUUAGGGUUGUAAAGCACUUUCAGCAGGGAGGAAAAGCGCAGGGCCAAUACCCCUGUGUCUUGACGUAACCUGCAGAAGAAGCACCGGCUAACUCCGUGCCAGCAGCCGCGGUAAU